rnacentral:tRNA from 1 species
UGGGAUUUAGCUCAGUGGUGCCAGCAUGUGCCUGGCAAGCACAAGGUCCCAAGUUCAAUCCCUGGUACCAG